GGGGGUGACAGGCUUCGACUUCGGUCGUCGAGGUGGGAGAAGCGAGCCGUGGUCUCCGGAGCCACGUUAAAGAGCCGGAAACCAACACAAACGCCGAGCCCAAGCUCGCGCUUGCUGCCUAACUAGCAGCAACGUCCGACCGGCCCCAGCCCCGCGGGCCGGAACCCGGGCGUCAUCUUGUGGGGCUUACCCGAUGGGUGUCGCCGACACGUCCGCCGGGGAAACCUUCGUCGGCUGGGGUCCCGCCACGGCGCCGGUGGCGAGGCGGGACCCGAGACCCCACCGCCGGCUGCGCUCGGAGAAGGUCCACUAAGAAGCCGAAGGACGCGGGUUCGAUUCCCGCCACCUCCACGA
rnacentral:tmRNA from 1 species